CAUCAUAUGACGUUAAUAUUAGAUUAGAUUUAGGUCGCGACGUCAGGUAACCAAAAUUCAAUGUCAAGCCAACGUCUAAUGACAAUGUUAAAUUGACGUCCAAGACCAACAUCAGCUGACGAUGAUAUUUGGUUGUUUUUAGGUUGUGUUAUAAAGUAACCAAAAUCCAACGUCGAGCCAACGUCUCAAGCCAACGUCAUAUUGACAUCAAAUACUGAUAUUUAGUCGUCAGGUAUGGCAACCUAAAUCCAACAUCUAGUAGACGUCAUUAUGGUAACGUCCAAUCAACGUCAAGUUAUAACAUCAUUUGAUGUAGAUCUUCAGUUAGUUUUAGGUUGUGGCAUUAACUAACCAAAAUCCAACGUCGAGCCAACGUCUGAAGCCAACGUCACAUUGACAUCAAAAACUUAUGUUUUGUCGUCAGGUAUGGCAACCAUAAUCCAAC
ensembl:lncRNA